ensembl:lncRNA
CUCUGUCCUGUCUCUGUCCCUGUCCAUGUCUCUGUCCUGGCUCUUUCCUGUCCCUGUCUCUGUCUCUGUCGUGUCUCUGUCCCUGUCUCUGUCCUGUCUCUGUCGUGUCUCUGUCCUGUCUCUGUCCCUGUCCCUGUCUCUGUCCUGUCUCUGUCCUGUCUCUGUCCUGGCUCUGUCCUGUCCCUGUCUCUGUCUCUGUCAUGUCUCUGUCUCUGUCCCUGUCUCUGUCCUGUCCCUGUCUCUGUCCUGUCUCUGUCUCUAUCUCUGUCCUGUCCUGUCUCUGUCUCUGUCUCUGUCUCUGUCUCUGUCUCUGUCUCUGUCGUGUCUCUGUCUCUGUCCUGUCUCUGUCCUGUCCCUGUCUCUGUCGUUUCUCUGUCCUGUCUCUGUCUCUGUCCCUGUCCCUGUCUCUGUCCUGUCUCUGUCUCUGUCGUGUCUCUGUCUCUGUCUCUGUCCUGUCCCUGUCUCUGUCCUGUCUCUGUCCAGUGUCUGUCCUGUCUCUGUCCUGUCCCUGUCUCUGUCCUGUCCCUGUCUCUGUCCUGUCUCUGUCUCUCUCCUGUCUCUGUCUCUGUCCUGUCUCUGUCUCUGUCGUGUCUCUGUCUCUUUCCUGUCCCUGUCUCUGUCCUGUCUCUGUCCAGUGUCUGUCCUGUCCCUGUCUCUGUCUUGUCCCUGUCUCUGUCCUGUCUCUGUCCUGUCUCUGUCUCUGUCCUGUCUCUGUCCAGUGUCUGUCCUGUCCCUGUCUCUGUCCUGUCCCUGUCCUGUCUCUGUCCAGUGUCUGUCCUGUCCCUGUCUCUGUCUUGUCCCUGUCUCUGUCCUGUCUCUGUCCUGUCUCUAUCCUGUCCCUGUCUCUAUCCUGUCCUGUCUCUGUCUCUGUCGUGUCUCUGUCUCUGUCCUGUCUCUGUCUCUACUGUCUGUCUCUGUCCAGUGUCUGUCCUGUCUCUGUCUCUGUCCUGUCCCUGUCUCUGUCCUGUCCCUGUCUCUGUCCUGUCUCUGUCCUGUCUCUAUCCUGUCCCUGUCUCUAUCCUGUCCUGUCUCUGUCUCUGUCGUGUCUCUGUAUCUGUCCUGUCCCUGUCUCUGUCCUGUCUCUGUCCAGUGUCUGUCCUGUCUCUGUCUCUGUCUCUGUCCUGUCCCUGUCUCUGUCCUGUCUCUGUCCUGUCCCUGUCUCUGUCGUUUCUCUGUCUCUGUCUCUGUCCCUGUCUCUGUCCUGUCCCUGUCUCUGUCCUGUCUCUGUCCUGUCUCUAUCCUGUCUGUAUCCUAUCCCUGUCUCUAUCCUGUCCUGUCUCUGUCCUGUCCCUGUCUCUGUCCUGUCCCUGUCUCUGUCCUGUCUCUGUCCUGUCCCUGUCUCUGUCUCUGUCUCUGUCUCUGUCUCUGUCCUGUCUCUGUCUCUGUCUCUGUCUCUGUCUCUGUCUCUGUCUCUGUCUCUGUCUCUGUCUCUGUCUCUGUCCUGUCCCUGUCCCUGUCUCUAUCCUGUCCUGUAUCUGUCUUUGUCUCUCUAAAACGGCAUACUGAUCAUGCACUGCUAUUGUUCUCUUACUAUUCAUAUAUUCUAAUUGGUUGUUUUCAUCCGUAGGUUAAGAAGAAAUAAACGCGUAUUGCUAUGCUGCCUGAAGAAUCGGAGCGGGUUCCUCGGGCGUCAUUAAGUUCCUUUCAGACUAUUGGAGGAUACCUGCAAGUGACUUCACGGUUUAUCCAUCUGGUUAUAUUCAAUACAGUCUUACAUCUUAUUCAAAGUCAUUUAAGUUCUGUGUAAAGCUAUAUAUUUAUCAUGCAAAAGUUAAUUCCUUCCCAACUUUUGAGGUCAUAUCCAUUUGAAGUGCACCCUGCUAAAUCUAUGGACCACCACCAAUCCCCCAUAUGUCAUCCACAGGGCUACUACAACACUAGCACCUGCUGGAUAUGGCACUGGACACAGUAGAGGCCACGCGCCACAAUUCAGAGAGAUCCCACUCUUUCAUCCUACUGUCACCUCUUCUGCUUGUGUCAGCUGCACUCUGUUUGUGUCUGACCCGUUCUGAGGCACGCCUGACCAGGUGAUUCAGUGUGCUGUCAUAACGAGGCUGGUGGUCUCCUAAGUAGAGGAAGAGAUGGAAAAAGAUACAGAGACGGAGGGAGAGACGGAGGGAGAGACGGAGGGAGGCGAGAGCAAGAGCGUUCACCAGCACCCAGCUAGUGUUACUAGAGAAGGAGUUCCACUUCAGGCCCUACCUGUGUCCACCCCGCAGGCUGGAGAUGGCUGCAGGCCUGAGGCUCACCGAUCGGCAGAUCAAGAUCUGAUUCCAGAACCGACGCAUGAAACACGAGAAGGACCAUAAGGAGGACAGUGUCAUAGAGACUGAGACGCCAAAACAUCCUUCUCUACCACCACACACGUUGUCCUCCCUCAGUCCAAGGUUCUCUAUUGGUGUUGGGUACUCAGUUCUUGUCUGGUGAGAGCGCCUAGAUCUCCAACCCUCCUCUUCAUAGAUUAAGAUCGUGCCCCUGCUCUGGUUGAUUUUAACAGUAGAAAUGACAGUGAAUGUUUUUGUGUUUCCUCCAUGGAUCUUCCCCCAUCUCACCACCAUACCUGCACCUGUCUCUUACUGUUGGAGACAGCAGUUGUUUGACCACAGGUCUCUCAGAACCUUCCCCAUGGCACAAUGAUGCACACCUAUUUUAUGACAUCAGUGCACGCUUCAAACGUCACGGCUUCCCCCUAGAACCUCCUACUCACCCUUGAGAGUAGGGCACAACCCUAACACCUACAGUGAGGGAAAAAAGUAUUUGAUCCCCUGCUGAUUUUGUAUGUUUUCCCACUGACAAAGAAAUGAUCAGUCUAUAAUUGUAAUGGUAUGUAUAUUUGAACAGUGAGAGACAGAAUAACAACAACAAAAAUCCAGAAAAACACGUCAAAAAAGUUUUAAAUUGAUUUGUAUUUUAAUGAGGGAAAUAAGUAUUUGACUCCUCUGCAAAACAUGACUUAGUACUUGGUGGCAAAACCCUUGUUGGCAAUCACAGAGGUCAGACGUUUCUUGUAGUUGGCCACCAGGUUUGCACACAUCUCAGGAGGGAUUUUGUCCCACUCCUCUUUGCAGAUCUUCUUCAAGUCCUUAAGGUUUCGAGGCUGACGUUUGGCAACUCGAACCUUCAGCUCCCUCCACAGAUUUUCUAUGGGAUUAAGUUCUGGAGACUGGCUAGGCCACUCCAGGACCUUAUUGUGCUUCUUCUUGAGCCACUCCUUUGCUGCCUUGGCCGUGUGUUUUGGGUCAUUGUCAUGCUGGAAUACCCAUCCACGACCCAUUUUCAAUGCCCUGGCUGAGGGAAGGAGGUUCUCACCCAAGAAUUGACGGUACAUGGCCCCGUCCAUCGUCCUUUUGAUGCGGUGAAGUUGUCCUGUCCCCUUAGCAGAAAAACACCCCCAAAGCAUAAUGUUUCCACCUCCAUGUUUGACGGUGGGGAUGGUGUUCUUGGGGUCAUAGGCAGCAUUCCUCCUCCUCCAAACACGGCGAGUUGAGUUGAUGCCAAAGAGUUCCAUUUUGGUUUCAUUUGACCACAACACUUUCACCCAGUUGUCUUCUGAAUCAUUCAGAUGUUCAUUGGCAAACUUCAGACGGGCAUGUAUAUGUGCUUUCUUGAGCAGGGGGACCUUGCGGGCGCUGCAGGAUUUCAGUCCUUCACAGGACUACCAAUUGUUUUCUUGGUGACUAUGGACUCAGCUGCCUCGAGAUCAUUGACAAGAUCCUCCCGUGUAGUUCUGGGCUGAUUCCUCACCGUUCUCAUGAUCAUUGCAACUCCACGAGGUGAGAUCUUGCAUGGAGCGCCAGGCCGAGGGAGAUGGACAGUUCUUUUGUGUUUCCUCCAAUUGCUAAUAAUUGCACCAACUGUUGUCACCUUCUCACCAAGCUGAUUGGCGAUGGUCUUGUAGCCCAUUCCAGCCUUGUGUAGGUCUACAAUCUUGUCCCUGACAUCCUUGGAGAGCUCUUUGGUCUUGGCCAUGGUGGAGAGUUUGGAAUCUGAUUGAUUGAUUGCUUCUGUGGACAGGUGUCUUUUAUACAGGUAACAAGCUGAGAUUAGGAGCACUCCCUCAGUUCAUUACCUGUAUAAAAGACACCUGGGAGCCAGAAAUCUUUCUGAUUGAGAGGGGGUCAAAUACUUAUUUCCCUCAUUAAAAUGCAAAUCAAUUUAUAACAUUUUUGACAUGCGUUUUUAUUUAAUGUAUUUAUUUUAUCCUGUCUCUCACUGUUCAAAUAAACCUACCAUUAAAAUUAUAGACUGAUUACUUCUUUGUCAGUGGGAAAACGUACAAAAUCAGCAGGAGAUCAAUUACUUUUUUCCCUCACUGUAGAUCGUGAGUCGAAGGGCUCAAUUCAAUCAAACCAGCCCUGCAGACGUUACCUUUCAUUCAACAUUUUGAUAGCGGCUUCCUGAACAAGGAAUAAUUAUUACCUGUAGGUUAUCCUGAGUAUCACUAGGACUAGGUUUCUAUUCCAAAGCAACCACCACUGCCCCCUCUGUUGCUAUUCUAUUAUACCUUGUGGCAGAUGUAAGGCAUGAUGUACUGUACAUAGCCUACCAGUAAUCUUUUGGCAUAAUUGACCUGAUUUAGCUUAUAGCAAUAAACUCCUCAAAUACCUUCUACUGGUAUUACUGUACUGUUUUGCAUGAUGAAUGCAUGUUUUGAAUACAUUAUUAAUCUGUGUCAGAUAAUGUAUCAGAUAAUUGACUUGUGGUUGUCAUCUCUGUAAAUCGUAGAGAAAAUAAUUUUACUUUGCUAUAGUUGUUAGAUGUUAUGUUCUGAUCGUGUAAGUAACAUAAUUUACUAGCCAUCAAUUUAGUAUUUUCAAGACCUCCUCCUGUGUCAAAUACAUGUGGCUGUUGUAUCCGUAGAUCAGAGGGAGAGACUUGACUUUGGCUGUAGGUGUCAUGUGUUAAGUCUUGUUUCAUGUGUUCUUAUCAUGUUCAUAGCUGCUCAUAUGUGUAAGUUGUUUACAUGUGUAAGUUGUUAAGGCUAAGUGUGAAAACAGAAGCAAGCAUAUGUUCAUACUGAACAAAGUUCUAUUUUGUUAUGUAUGUAUUAUGUAAACUAAAAUCAGUUUUUGAUACUGUUCUUGAUUAUUUGAGAUGUUUAAUAAAUGCAUUUGUGUAAAAUCAA